rnacentral:rRNA from 1 species
UGGCGGCGUGGAUGAGGCAUGCAAAUCGAAUGGGUUUAGACCCAUGGCAGACGAGGUAGGAACACGUGGGUACGCACCGGAGAGUCAGGGAUAACCCGGCGAAAGUCGGGAUAAUACCUGAUAGUCCCUCAAGAAUUUUCUUCGGGGGUAAAGAUUUAUCGCUCUCUGAGCGGCCCGCGGUCUAUCAGCUUGUUGGUACGGUAACGGCGUACCAAGGCUACGACGGAUAGGGGAGGUGAGAGCCUGACCCCCACCGAUGGAACUGCGACACGGUCCAUACUCCUACGGGAGGCUGCAGUCGAGAAUCUUCCGCAAUGGGCGAAAGCCUGACGGAGCGACGCCGCGUGGUGGAUGAAGCCCUUCGGGGCGUAAACACCUUUUAUGAGGGAGGAAGUUUAUUGACGUUACCUCAUGAAUAAGGGGCUCCCAACUCUGUGCCAGCAGGAGCGGUAAUACAGAGGCCUCAAGCGUUAUCCGGAUUCACUGGGCGUAAAGGGUGCGUAGGCGGUCAUAUUAGUCGGAUGUUAAAUCCUGGGGCUCAACCUCAGGCUCGCAUUCGAAACAGUAUGACUAGAAGAUAUGAGAGGUGAGCAGAACUCUCGGUGUAGGGGUGAAAUCCGUUGAUAUCGAGGGGAAUACCAAAUGCGAAGGCAGCUCACUGGCGUAUUCUUGACGCUGAGGCACGAAAGCGUGGGUAGCGAACGGGAUUAGAUACCCCGGUAGUCCACGCCCUAAACGCUGUCUGUUGGCUUUUGCGGGAAUCGACCCCCGCAGAAGCGAAGCUAACGCGUUAAACAGACCGCCUGGGUAGUACGAGCGCAAGCUUAAAACUCAAAGGAAUAGACGGGGGCUCGCACAAGCGGUGGAUCAUGAGGCUUAAUUCGUCGAUAAGCGAAAAACCUUACCGAGGCUAGAAACCAUACUGCACGCUCCGGGAAACUGGAGAAGCCUUCGAGGGUGUAUGGCAGGUGAUGCAUGGCCGUCGUCAGUUCGUGGCUUGAGCUGUUCCCUUAAGUGGGGAAACGAACGCAACCCUCGUUGCCUGUUACAAGUGUCAGGCGAGACCGCUCCCUCACGGGAGAGGAAGGUGAGGAUGACGCCAGGUCAGCAUGUCCCUAGAUGCCUCGGGCUGCACUCGUGAUACAAUGGGACACACAAAGGGACGCAAUACCGCAAGGUGGAGCAAAUCCUGAGAAAAGGUCCCUCAGUUCGGAUUGUGGGCUGCAACUCGCCCACAUGAAGUCGGAAUCGCUAGUAAUCGUGAAUCAGCACGUCACGGUGAAUACGUUCCCGAGCCUUGUACUCACCGCCCGUCAAGUCAGGGGAGUCGGAAGUGCCCGAAGUC